rfam:Pan troglodytes isolate Yerkes chimp pedigree #C0471 (Clint) chromosome 8, whole genome shotgun sequence.
UAGAUUGAAGCCACUUGAUUAGGGUGUUUAGCUGUUAACUAAAUUUUCGUGGGUUUAAUUCCAUCAAUCUAG